rnacentral:rRNA from 1 species
CCUACGGGCGGCAGCAGUGGGGAAUAUUGGACAAUGGGGGGAACCCUGAUCCAGCCAUGCCGCGUGUGUGAAGAAGGCCCUCGGGUUGUAAAGCACUUUCAGUGAGGAAGAACGCCUGGUGGUGAAUACCCAUCAGGAAAGACAUCACUCACAGAAGAAGCACCGGCUAACUCCGUGCCAGCAGCCGCGGUAAUACGGAGGGUGCGAGCGUUAAUCGGAAUUACUGGGCGUAAAGCGCGCGUAGGUGGCUUGAUAAGCCGGUUGUGAAAGCCCCGGGCUCAACCUGGGAACUGCAUCCGGAACUGUCAAGCUAGAGUGCAGGAGAGGAAGGUAGAAUUCCCGGUGUAGCGGUGAAAUGCGUAGAGAUCGGGAGGAAUACCAGUGGCGAAGGCGGCCUUCUGGACUGACACUGACACUGAGGUGCGAAAGCGUGGGUAGCAAACAGGAUUAGAUACCCUAGUAGUC